GGGCCCGUGGCCAAGUCAGGAUAAGGCAGCAGCCUCCUAAGCUGCAAAUCGUGGGUUCAAAUCCCACCGGGCCCGCCA
rnacentral:tRNA from 1 species